ACGAACGCUGGCGGCAUGCCUAACACAUGCAAGUCGAACGAAGUCCUUCGGGGCUUAGUGGCGCACGGGUGCGUAGCGCGUGGGAAUCUGCCCUUGGGUUCGGAAUAACAGUUAGAAAUGACUGCUAAUACCGGAUGAUGUCUUCGGACCAAAGAUUUAUCGCCCAAGGAUGAGCCCGCGUAGGAUUAGGUAGUUGGUGGGGUAAAGGCCUACCAAGCCGACGAUCCUUAGCUGGUCUGAGAGGAUGAUCAGCCACACUGGGACUGAGACACGGCCCAGACUCCUACGGGAGGCAGCAGUGGGGAAUAUUGGACAAUGGGGGCAACCCUGAUCCAGCAAUGCCGCGUGAGUGAUGAAGGCCUUAGGGUCGUAAAGCUCUUUUACCAGGGAUGAUAAUGACAGUACCUGGAGAAUAAGCUCCGGCUAACUCCGU
rnacentral:rRNA from 1 species